UUUUGAGAUUUUCUCACUUCAGGUACGUGAUGUUGAUAAGCUGCAAAAAUAGCAAAACAUUGAUGUCCAUGGUUCCUGAAUGGGAUUUGAGGUGAGUUGU